GAAAUGCGAUAAGUAAUGUGAAUUGCAGAAUUCAGUGAAUCAUCGAAUCUUUGAACGCACAUUGCGCCCGCCAGUAUUCUGGCGGGCAUGCCUGUUCGAGCGUCAUUACAACCCUCAGGCCCCCGGGCCUGGCGUUGGGGAUCGGCGGAAGCCCCCUGCGGGCACAACGCCGUCCCCCAAAUACAGUGGCGGUCCCGCCGCAACUUCCAUUGCGUAGUAGCUAACACCUCGCAACUGGAGAGCGGCGCGGCCACGCCGUAAAACACCCAACUUCUGAAUGUUGACCUCGAAUCAGGUAGGAAUACCCGCUGAACUUAAGC
rnacentral:misc_RNA from 1 species